AGCGUUUUGACCAAGAUUGACAGAAAAAACUCACUAAGGGAGCCCCAAGGAAAGAACUUCGGUGAGCAAGACUUGAGGAAGAGGGCGUUAGGCCGCUGUGGUCCAGGACACGUCAGUUACAUGUGAAUCCCUUCUGGCAAUUCAGCAAUAGCCAUUGUAACUUUCAGACCACAUGGAAAUUUUCCACUUGGAAAUUCACACGUUGUUUCCUCUUGGUUUAUCAGUAGGCAGAAGUUACUACAUGGAGGGAGGGGGGAAACUGGUUUAACCUUGGCUGCUUGAUAGUGGAUCUGAAAGUCUAGUAUUGCAUGAGAAGUCCCUGCUAGAUAAAAUGUAAUAUUGGGGUCCCAUCUCCAGUGACUGUGGUUUAGUAGUUCCGGGUGGGCCUUGGCAGUAUACGUUUUUGAGCAAGCACCCCAAUAACUCUCAUAUGCAUGUUUCAAGACCUCGUGAUGUGGAGUACUGAUCUAGGUCCUCUUAGAACAGGAUGGAAGUUUGCUGAAGCGGGGACAAGAUUGGCCAUUGUGAAUGAUACUAACAUUGUGAUUAAGAGAACAAAUGUCUCUUUAGAUCUAAAGUCCUAAGCUUUUUGUCUUAGGCUGAAUUCCCCAGGAGGAGAGCCUAGACUGGUAUUUGGGUGUAUGUGAUGCAUUGGCGUGGUCUCAGGAAAAAGAUUAUAAAGGAAGUAGGAGAGCGCAAAGUAAGGCCCUAAGCAAGGGUGUGGGUUCAGCCGGAGGCUAGCUUUACUCGGAUCCUACAGGGAGCUCUGCGCGUGAGUUGUACCACAUGGCAUAUCCCACCCUGAGGAAAGAAGGCUAGCUUUUGGUACCUUUUGACAGCCAGUCACUGGCUGUGAGCUACCCUGGGAUGGGAGAUAGAAUCUUCUGGAUGAGCAGAGGGCAGAUCUCCAGGGAGAAGGCCUCUGUUGCCAUUAGCAACCAACCCUCAUGGCCACUGGGGAAUGGAUGCACCAGCCAGGUAAAAGGGACCGAGAAGAGUCACCAACAGCAUCCAUUGUGUUAUGACACCGUAGUGUCACAUGAGAGGCAUUUCACACUAUGGCUCCUGUUCUUGGUCACCCUGGCCACUCUUGCUGCUAUAAGCUUGCUACUCUUAAGUUUUUUGUUUGUUUGUUAUCAUUACAAGGGAAAACAUGGAUAGCAAAAAUAUUUGGCUUUUUGCUUUUUAGUAUUUCCCUUCUUGUGCUUUAGUAAAAAUUGUCAUCCUGCAGCAAAGUGUAGAUAAUAUGGCAGCAUCCUUUGUCAAUUUUGUCUCCUCACUUGAAGAAACAAUGACUUUGAAUACUGAAUUAUGGGUCCUUAGGCUGUAGUGAAAUCUUAAUGUGCUUUACUCAAAACUUCCUUUGCAGAUGAGUCCGUCUCACGCUUCUUGUAAUGAGAUUGCUCGUGGGGGAUGUUCGUUUGUUUAGGACUUUCUGUGAGAAAUAUGCUGUUCUGGAGACUAUUGAACUGGUUGUCAUUGGUUACUUGGCUUUAUUAAAUAAAACAGCCUCUUCUCAACUACCUUCUGUGGAACAUUAGUGUCUUUUGUACUGUAUUCUAUAGGAAAUAAGUCCUAUGGUCAAAUAAUUUUGGAGGGGAGGUGUUCUGUAUACUGUUUCCUUCUAGGAGAUUCACAGAGCACUUUGGCCUGUUAGAAGGUUCUCCAGACCCUGCAGGAAAGAAAACUGUUUACUCUUGCUUGGCUGAUCGAUUCUCAAACCUACCUGCUCAUGGAGAUGCUUGUCAUCACUGCCUCCCUCCUUUUUAUUUUUUCAGAAUACACAUUACCAGUUUACAGGACUAAUGUUCCAUAGUACACAGUUUGGAGAAUACCGAAAUGAAACUUUAUUCCUCAUCAUGUAUUACCAGGGCUUUCUGAGCAGCGAAGAACCAGUUCCACUCUUUUAUGUUGUAAAACCGGUCUCGACGCCUUAUCUACAUGCAAGGCAGGUGCAAAGCAGAUUUGGGGAUCAAAGUAGUCUCUGGAGAAAAAGGAUAGGUUAUUUGUUUGUCAUGCUGAAGGGGCUGUAAAAACAGUAACAUACUUAAUGAGGCUUCACUAUGGAUAUAUUAGUCUCCAUAAAACAUUUUAUUUAGCCUAACCUACAAUUACUUAAUGGCCAGUGAGUUUCAUAAACAGCUAGUCCCCAGCCUCAAACAUAUAUUAAGUGUCUGUUCUUUUGUGGAGUGAGUUUGCCAGGGAGAGUCAUGCAAGAUUAAAAAGAUAGAACAUUAAAAAUUCAGCCAAGACACACCAGGGCUGCCCUGAUGAUAACAACUACGGUGUGAUGUUUCUCAGUUCAUAUGGAUUCCCCAUACUGUUCUCAGUAGAAGAUAACCCUGCUAUUGCCCAAUACUCUUUCAUUAAAAAAUUAUUUGCACAGUCAUGGGUGUAUGGCAUUUCUUUUUUGCUUAAGACAGACCCUCGGUGAGUUGAAUUUUUCUAAGGAAUUUUGAAUUGUAAGAGACAGAAAUGAAUGAAUAUUUAUUUAGAGGAAAAAUAUUGAGUCCUUACAUUUCCUACAGCACUUUGAAGUUUGCAGAGGGCUCCCUUCCCCCUUCCUCAACUAUCACUUUUGUACUUAAACAAAACCUCUGUGAGACAGUAGUAUUACCAGCACCACAAAAGUAGCAGAGGACUCUUGGAAAGCUGGCCAGAGCAGCCUUACAGAAUUCAGAAGCUUUAUUUACAUUCACCUGAACCGUUAUCCUAAAAGGAAAUCACCACGAGAUUUUUCUCUUCUUUGUUCUUCCUUCCUUCCUACUUAGUUAUGUUCAAUCAACUUAUCAUCUAGACUCAGCCACGAGCUUACUGUGUGUCCUGAUCCAUUGCUUAGCAAUCGUUCCCUCUUGGAUCAUGAGAGGUGGUAAGUUUCUAGGAUAUGUGUGUGAGUGCAUAUGUGUGCAAAUGUGUAGGAAUUGGUGAGGGAUGAAGGACUCAGAGAUCAUCUUUAGACAGAGUCCUGUGUUCCCCACCCAGGCGUGUGGAUUUUCUCUAGUAAGAAGGGUGAGGAGGCUAGGAUCUCGGAUGCCUUGGGCAACGUGGAAGAGGGCUUGGUACAGCAGAGGCUGUUACGGUGAAUAUGGGGGUCAGAGGAUGAAGGUCUGGGAAAUGGAUGGAGCCAAGGCAAUGGAGGGGAUUCCUGAGGUGGAACUGACCAGUCUUGGAGGUAAGGGAGAUACAGCAACUCAAGAUAUUGAUGAGGCGUCUAAUAGAGGUGGCCAAUAGUGCUGUUAUCAGAGAAGAGAACAAGAGGGAGACAACUGGGGUGGUAGCCUAGGGGGCGGCGGCGGGAGAGUUGAAACGAUAGAAGCCACUUUAGGAUGUGAUGAGCUUGAAGUGAAAUGUUUAGGUAGCUUGAAGUAGCCAUCCACAUUACAGAGAAAGAGAACAAAACCUGAGAUUUAGAGUUAAUGCUCGACAGUGUGUAAAGACCUGGACGCACAGACCAAAGCAUCUAGGAAGAGGGUGGCACCAGAUUGAAUCAGCCCACAUGACUCACACAUGUUGAAAUGUCAUAUGUAUAUAUAUAUAUAUGUAUUUGGUCUUUUUUUUUGCCAUUUCUUGGGCCGCUCCUGCGGCAUAUGGAGGUUCCCAGGCUAGGAGUCGAAUCGGAGCUGUAGCCACUGGCCUACACCAGAGCCACAGCAACGCAGGAUCCGAGCCACGUCUGUGACCUACACCACAGCUCACGGCAAUACCAGAUCCUUAACCCACUGAGCAAGGCCAGGGAUCGAACCCGCAACCUCAUGGUUCCUAGUCAGAUUCGUUAACCACUGUGCCACAAUGGGAACUCUGGAAAUGUCAUAUGUUUUUACAACGUGUAAGGCAACUCCAUUUCAUACCGAGCACUCCUCCUUGUAGUCUGGGGGAAAACCUAAUUUCGUAUCUUUGAUUUUCCCUUCCUGAGGCAGUGCUGAGACAUCAGGAUGCAGAGUGGUGAUCUGGUCCUUGGUCACCUGUUGGGUAGGUUAUUUGCCAAGGCUUGCCAUCAUUCCUACUAGAUCCUUUUUCUCUGCCAUGGCUGUGCCAUGAGAUGCCACUUGUUGUUUUGUCUGAUGAGCUUCAGCUCCACCCAGCUCUUGGGCUUGGAGUUUUGCUGUCAACCUUUUGGGAGUGUGAGGGAAGCAUGGCUGCUCUGGGAUCCUUUGGUAUCGUUCGUCUUUCCUCUCUGAGUUUUAGCCCAGGGACCUCUCUUUCUAGGGCAGGGAAGGAAGAAAGGAUGAAGCGCCCUUCCUCUCGCUUCUCACAUACCCUCCCCUCUUCUCCCCCAAACCACCACUUCUCUUAAGGGCUUAAACAUGUUUGUGUGUGUGUGUGUGUGUGUGUGUUGGGGGAAAGGCAGACAGACUUGCUGGUUAUUUGCUUAUGGCCCUGAUGCAUGCCUCCUGGUAGCUGUGGAGGAUCACGAUGGCUACCACACUGAACUGGGAGGACGGAAACAAACAAAUACAGAUACAGAGAGAAACAAGAGUAAUAUCUGAAAAUACCAUCUAGCUACAGUGUUCAAGUAAGAGGAGAAACCAAGCAGGCUUUGGGCUACAGAGUAUAGAGACAAGAGAGAACAGGAAGAUGACAUCCAGGGAAGAAGCCAGAAAGCUCCCAGAGAAUGCAACAAAAAGCACCACUCUCAGGAUGUCGAGAUGCAAGACAUGGCCCCAGCUAUGAUGAUACCAGGACAUGCCAGAGGAGGGCAGGCGAGUCAUAGCCCGGGGCUUUAAAGUAAGCCUGUGGAGUUCCCAUUGUGGCUCAGAGGUAGCAAACAUGACUAGUAUCCAUGAGGACUCGGGUUCGAUCCCUGGCCUCGCUCAGCGGGUUAAGGGUCCAGUGUUGCUGGGAGAGCGUCAGUGUAGGUUGCAGAUGAGGCUUGGAUCCCAAAUUGCUGUGGCUGUGGCUGGCAGCUGCAGCUCCAAUUUGAUCCCUAGCCUGGGAAACUCCAUAUGCCAUAGGUGUAGCCCUAAAAAG
rnacentral:lncRNA from 1 species